GAGUCUCUCUUCAGCCUUGGAGGGAGACUGACUUGGCUGCCUGGGAGCUCAGGGACUGGAGCAGUACUGGGGAGCUCAGGCCUGGCAACCUCCCAGGCUGUGGCCUGGUAGAAAGGCCAAAGCAGGCAGAGAUUGUCGGACGACAGUAAAUUCAGGAGAAUAGCGUGGCAAGAUAUUCCGAAGCUGAGGAUGCAUUUCUGAACUAACGGUUGUGAAAACACUCAAGUAUAUUAAGGAAAGAAUUACACAGACAGUUUGGAAAAAGGACAGUGCUCUGCAUCUCUGGAAAUGAAAAUACGUACUUUUUGUGACCUGGCUAAGGAGGAACAAGCAAGAUGGAAAAAAAAAAAACUGGUUGUCUUUUUUAUCCAAAUUUACUUCCCUGGAUAUUAAUGUGUCAGUUUUUUUUCAUGUGCACUAUCAAAGAUUAAAAAAAAUAAUAUCCUCUCUG